UAUCCACCAAUCUCGUUUGGCUCGCUCCCGCCCAUCGCCCGACCCUGCCCACCUUCUCCUCCUCCUCUUUCUCCGCUCUGUUUCACUGCCGAAGACCCGAUGCUCGGAUUGGCUCGAGGGCAGGCGGCAGUGAUGGUGGUGGUGAUGCGGAUGCAAGCGCAGAUUUGAUGUUGCUGCAGGCUUCGAGAUGGCUUCUGAGAAACAUGAGCAGGCGGAGUUGCCAUCGAGAUCGGCAUCGAGUUCGGUGUUUUGUCGCGUGAUAUGACACCUCGGUACGUAAUUUCUUGCUUGCUUCGUUGAACUCGGUGCUUUUGUUCCUGGAUUUGGUCAAUUCUUGAGAUGGGUAUUAGGAACCGAUGUGUGAAUCCGUUGUAUCUGGCUUCGGGAACGGCAAAA